ensembl:lncRNA
ACUAAACAAUCUGAGGAAGAGAACAGGUCUGUAUUCUGGAUUUCAUUUUUUUCAGUAGUGAUUUUCUAUAAGGAGUGUGAAGCUGAGUACUGACACAUGCUGACAUGUGAUUGGCUACAACGUGGCUCAGAUGUGAUUGGCUACAGUUCUGUGAAUGAACACAGUGGUCAGGAGAUGGAGAGAGUGGUCAGGAGAUGGAGAGAGUGGUGAGGAGAUGGAGAGAGUGGUGAGGAGAUGGAGAGAGUGGUCAGGUGAUGGAGAGAGUGGUCAGGAGAUGGAGAGAGUGGUCAGGAGAUGGAGAGAGUGGUGAGGAGAUGGAGAGAGUGGUCAGGAGAUGUAUGUUGUAUUGUGUCAGACAGAACCAGAGCCCCUGAUAUCAGCAGAGAAACAAGGAGAGAACAAUAAACAGUGCACAAACACCGUUAAUCAACUUUCCUCUUCCUCCGGCGUCACUGAAUGAGUUCUUCAUUUAAGAGAAAACACCAUCUCAGCUCCAAAUCUCUCUCUUAUUCACGCUUUCGCCUCAUUUAUGAGUACAAUUGUGGACGGACUGUUACUAAAACGCUGUUGCACAAAGCCCAAACGAUUCUUUUGUUCAGCUGUGGUGAGAUUCUGUAAAAGUCUUUAUGAGCUGCUAGAACAUUUCCACAAUUUGGACCGGUUCUCUAAAGUGAGUAAAGCGUGCAGUGCUCUCAUCUUCAUCCUGUGGUGUGAAGUGAUUUCCCAGGGAAAGUGGUUCAAUAAAGUUCUAACCUUUCAUUUUUAAAGCCCAGUUAAACUCUGAAUCAUCGAGUCAAAAGCAAAGGUCAGAACAUAAAACAGAACCCAGACAUAUCAUUUUGCUCUUUGGGUACUGAAAUGUGUAUGGAAGGAUUUCAGAAAAAAGUAGCCUUGGGGCGGUGAAAAUAAAACGCCUCACGAUCUAAAUAAACGAAUGAACUAAAUAAAUAAAGUAACGAUCUUCGGUUCUAAAUCUCACUGUAAAAAACGCUUCAAAAGAGGUUCUACAUGGAAAGAAACGAAGAUCCUGUCUGGGUUCCCAAGAGAACCAAACCGAUGAACUGUUUAGGAUGCUAACGUAAACUCAUAAGAAUAAAACGGUGAUUUUUAAAUGGUUCUUCAAUGAGUUUCUCUGGAGUUCUUAAAUUAGAACCCUCUCAAAUAAGAGGUGGUUGUAGGGUGAAUCCUUUUUGGGUCUCUGGAGGGAAAUAUAUAUAACUAUAUCUCUUUUUUUUCUUAAAGUCUAUCUUUCAAACAAGAGAAA